rnacentral:rRNA from 1 species
AGCAGUAGCCGCGGUAAUACGUAGGUCCCGAGCGUUGUCCGGAUUUAUUGGGCGUAAAGCGAGCGCAGGCGGUUAGAUAAGUCUGAAGUUAAAGGCUGUGGCUUAACCAUAGUACGCUUUGGAAACUGUUUAACUUGAGUGCAAGAGGGGAGAGUGGAAUUCCAUGUGUAGCGGUGAAAUGCGUAGAUAUAUGGAGGAACACCGGUGGCGAAAGCGGCUCUCUGGCUUGUAACUGACGCUGAGGCUCGAAAGCGUGGGGAGCAAACAGGAUUAGAUACCCCCGUAGUCCCUGUCUCUUAUACC